AAAUAGAACAAUUCAGCUGUCUCUUUAGAAAGCCUGACAAAAGCAAAUACUCCCCGCUGAACAUUUUCUUAGCCUGUUGCACAAAAGAUGAAGUUUGUUUAAGAAAUUGCCGCUAAAGAAAGCGUCAACCCAUUAAGAAGUGAAUUACUGGAUGCUUCAUGUGUGUCAGCGACAUCUUUAAAAGCCUGGGAAAUUCAACCAUUUUGACUGAUGGAGACUCACAAACUUCGGUUCAGCAAUACCGAAUCAGUCACUGACUGGAAGCAGGGUAUGGGCCUGCACAGCGAUUACCCGCAGGUCACAUAGGAGGGUAGCAGAAGUCUUUGGGAAGCAACACCUGCAGUUACAUUCAAAGGCCUGACAUUUGCAAGCAGCUUCUGAAGUGGCUGGGCAUUGUCCUGAGGUGAAUAAAGGACCAAGUUUUCUACCUGAACAGCUGAAGCAUUCCAGGACCAUUACAACCCUGGUGCCUGAUUUACAAGUAAUGAGUCCUGCUGACUUCAGUUUGUAAGAAAUGGAUGUCCCACAGGGUCAUCCAUUUCUAAAUAAAAAAAGGGUUGGGGUUUUUAAUAAGUUUCCUAUCCACAGAUGCCAUCCACCUUUUAUUCUAUUCUUUCCGUUACUAUAGUCUUCACAGCGAUUCCCAGAGUUCUGGUCAACACUCCCAGCACUGCAUAGCAUGCAGCUAGGCAGGGAACCCACAAAGUAAAUAC